rnacentral:lncRNA from 1 species
GGCCAGGGAAAAAUUGCAUUCAUGGUAACAAAAUAAGAUGAAUAAAAGAAGAAAUACAUGCAUGCAUAUACGGAUAUAAAGAUAAACAUGCACACAUGCAUAUACAGAUGCAUAGGUGAAGUGAGAUAUAUGGGCCCACAUGCACCGCCACCGCUUAAGCACCCACCCAAUUAUAUAGCAGCAAAUUAUACCUUACACUAUGUGCAUCAAUGUGGCUAUGUACUAUGCCAAUCAUCCUGCACUCAUACUGAUAAUUAGCCCAGAAGAAGAAGAAGAAGUGAUUGGUGUG